rnacentral:rRNA from 1 species
UUGGGGACUCAUGGGAGACUGCCGGGGUCAACUCGGAGGAAGGUGGGGAUGACGUCAAAUCAUCAUGCCCCUUAUGUCUUGGGCUUCACGCAUGCUACAAUGGCCAGUACAAUGGGCUGCGAAACCGUGAGGUGGAGCGAAUCCCAAAAAACUGGUCUCAGUUCGGAUUGGGGUCUGCAACUCGACCCCAUGAAGUCGGAGUCGCUAGUAAUCGCAGAUCAGCAACGCUGCGGUGAAUACGUUCCCGGGCCUUGUACACACCGCCCGUCAAGUCACGAAAGUCGGUAACACCCGAAGCCGGUGGCCUAACCCUUGUGGGGGGAGCCGUCGAAGGUGGGACUGGCGAUUGGGACUAAGUCGUAACAAGGUAGCCGUACCGGAAGGUGC